CCUUGCGCUGAUGGAUGAGCUCGCGUCGGAUUAGCUUGUUGGUGAGGUAAAGGCUCACCAAGGCGACGAUCCGUAGCUGGUCUGAGAGGAUGAUCAGCCACGACCGGGACUGAGACACCGGCCCGGACUCCGUACGGGAGGCAGCAGGUGGGGAAUCGUUGGACAAGUGGGGGCAACCCUGAUCCAGCCAUGCCGCGUGUGUGAAGAAGGCCUUCGGGUUGUAAAGCACUUUCAGCAGGGAGGAAGGCUUACCCCUAAUACGGGUGAGUACUUGACGUUACCUGCAGAAGAAGCACCGGCUAAUUUCGUG
rnacentral:rRNA from 1 species